CCUGGCUCAGGACGAACGCUGGCGGCGUGCCUAAUACAUGCAAGUAGAACGCUGAAAGAAGAGCUUGCUCUUCUGGAAGAGUUGCGAACGGGUGAGUAACGCGUAGGUAACCUACCUCAUAGCGGGGAUAACUAUUGGAAACGAUAGCUAAUACCGCAUGACACUAGAGUACACAUGUACUUAAGUUAAAAGGAGCAAUUGCUUCACUAUGAGAUGGACCUGCGUUGUAUUAGCUAGUUGGUGAGGUAACGGCUC
rnacentral:rRNA from 1 species